rnacentral:lncRNA from 1 species
UGUUAACAAUAAUCCAUCGUCAAGGGAUAAACGGUGGACUCUAUUAUAAAAACAAAAUCUAUUUUAUAUUUUUUGCAUACAUAAAUUAAACAUUCAUAUUUUAAAUUACACAGACAGAGUUUGCGUAUAAAAUAUUUAUAACAUUCUACAGUAAAUAAAGUACAUCAAAAGUCCCCAAAAGACACACUACAAUCUACACAAUAAU